rnacentral:lncRNA from 1 species
CUAAAAUAUAGGAUAAUGAGUUCUGCAUCAGGUAAUGGUGAAGUAGGUAAUUUGGACAAAUCACACCCCCUGAGGACAACUAGAAUUGGGAAACAUUUCUUUGAAGGCAUUUGAGAGUAAAUACAUUGACAAAGUAUGAAUAUGACAGAUUCUGGGGGAAGAGUUAGGCUGAGGUAUGUCACCCCAACUUUUGAAGCCAGUUUUCAGCAAUGCAAGUAUGUACUGGUUCCAGAAGAGAAGAUUAAGAAGCUGAGAAGCUGAAAUGGUAAGUAGGGCAAAGGGCUGAGUCCCUCUUACUUUGCAUUGGGUUCCAAAGAACUUCAUCCUAGAAAUACGGGUGAAACAUAGGCAAACAGAUCUUUGCUAGGGACUAUAUAGUUCAGCUUCCAAUCGUUGCAAACCCUGAAAAUGGAUGAAGGUAAUUCUAGAUUGAUGGAGCCCCCAAAUGCCUGCAGAAGCAGAGAUAAAUAUGAGGAAAGAUGAAGAUAAUUUAGUCCUCAAGUUAUCUUCAUUCCAAAUGUACAUUUGACCCACUAUAAAAUAUUACUUGGUGCAUGAGGAGACAAGACAAUGAAAAUGAGAACUAAGGAAAUCACAAGAUUUACCAGAUAGAUAGACUUUAAAAUAACUAGCACUGAAAAAGAAAAGCAAAAAUUAAACUAUGCUCAGCAUAUUGGAGUAUAUAAAAACAAGAAUUAGAAUUUCAGCAGAGAAUUAGAAAUUAUUGAUAAGAACUAAAUGGAAAUUCUAAAACAACAAAAAAUGAGCAAAACUUACUCCAAGG